rnacentral:rRNA from 1 species
CUGUUAUCCCUACGGUAACUUGGUUUGAAUCCUUUUUAGGGUUUUUUUAAAAAAGUAAAAAAAGAUUUGGUUUUUUACCGCCCCAGUUAAAAAGAAAAUUUUUAAGUUCGAUAGGGUCUUGUCGUCUUCUCUUGUAAUUUAAGUCUUUUUACUUAAAUGAAAAUUUUAAGAAGUCAAUAUAAUAAAGAAUUCAAUUCGUUAAUCCUUUCAUUCUAGCCUUUAAUUAAAGGGCAAGUGAUUAUGCUACCUUAGCACGUUAGUUGCGGCUAUUUAAAGUUCAUUGAGCAGGAAGUACUAAUUA